GUUUCUAUAGUUGAAUAACAGCGGUGGUUUUUCAAGUCGUUGGUCUCGGUUAAAGUCCGGGUAGAAAUU
rnacentral:tRNA from 2 species